CAUUCACCCAACAGUGCCAAACCCUUAUACUCUGUUAAGUCUCAUCCCUCCCAGUCAUGUGUGGUACUCAGUAUUAGAUCUUAAAGAUGCAUUUUUCAGCCUGCCUCUAGCUCCUGUGAGCCAGCCUCUCUUUGCCUUCGAAUGGACUGACUUAGAGACUGGAUCCACUGGACAGCUGACAUGGACCCAGCUGCCGCAGGGAUUCAAAAACUCCCCCACUCUGUUCAGGGAAGCUCUCAACAAAGAUCUGCAAGAGGUAAGAAAAGUGUUUCCCCAGGCGACUAUUCUUCAGUAUGCUGAUGACCUCCUGGUGGCGACUUCAAAUGAUAAGGAAUGCAUUGCAGCCACCGAGGGCCUCCUGAAAGCCCUCCAGGAACUGGGAUAUCGGGUGUCCUGGAAGAAAGCUCAACUCUGCCAGACCAAGGUAACCUACUUGGGCUAUAUUCUUGAAAAGGGAAAGAGGAGGCUGGCAGGAUCAAGAGUAUCUGCAGUUCUCCAGAUUCUGAAGCCAGGCUCAAAGAAACAGGUGUGAGAGUUCCUAGGGGCAGUUGGCUAUUGCAGGAUUUGGAUUCCUGGCUUUGCUGAGAUUGCCAAACCCCUACAUGAGGCCACUGCAGGAGGAAAUACACCCCUCGAAUGGACUGAGGCUUGCCAGCAGGCAUUUCAAUUGCUUAAGACUGCACUUGCAUUGGCACCAGCCCUGGCAUUGCCAGACUUAAACAAGCCCUUUACCCUGUAUGUGGCAGAGAAAAAUGGGGUAACUAAGGGAGUGAUUACUCAGCUUUUGGGCCAUGGAAAUGGCCUAUGGCAUACCUCUCAAAGAAGCUCAACCCAGUGGCCUGAGGGUGGCCUACUUGUUUGAGGACAAUAACAGCAGCAGCUGCUUUAACCCGAGAGGCUGACAAAUUGACCUUUGGACAAGAUUUGACUUUAAAAAAAUAAGACUGAGAUAUUGACAUUGCGACAAACAAUCUGGUUGCCUGGAGAGGUCGCCAUUAUCCAUUGCCACAGGCACCAGAAGGGGCUUAGCCCCAAGAUGAUUGGUAAUAAUGCUACUGACCGGGCAGCAAAACAAGCUGCCGAAAAAUCAGUGAGGAAGCAAAUGGUUCUGUUUCCCACACGGGUACUCCCAGAAAAACCUGAAUACACAGAUAAAAAAGUAGCGGAAAUGAACAGGAGACACCGGACUUGAAAAAAAAAAAAACAUAGAUGAUGGAUGACUAAGGAUAAAAAGGUGGUGCUCCCAGCCACUGUAACAGACACGUUGCUGCGAGAACUACAUGAGUCCACCCACCUCAGCGAGAAAAGGAUGAAGGCUGCCCUGCAACUUCAUUUCGUCAGCCAGGGAUUAGCCCAAAAGGCCCAGGACACGGUGAGACAAUGCCCCACCUGCCUCAAGGUUUGAUUCCAAGACCCUGGAACCUCGUUGGAAGGGACCGGUUCCUAUUGUCCUGUCGACUCCCUUGGCAGUGAAGGUGGCUGGACAUUCUGCCUGGAUACAUCGCAACCAUCUAAAAGCAGGACCCCCCACAGACAUCAAAAAAGACAAAUGGAAGGUUAUCAGCCAACCAGGUGACCAAAAGCUAAGACUGGAACAGGUUGGAGACGUUUCACCUUAAUGAUGAUAUUCUCUGGGACACUGGCAUUAUUGCCCCCAAGAGGACUAGAUCACACAAAAAAAAUGUAUAGAUUCAAUUGGCAAACUCGCUUAACUUGUCUGAAUUCUGCUUAAAUGCUGAUGUAAAUUUCCAUCAUGUGCUGGGAAGCUGUCUCAUUCCGGUAUGCACCUCUUUAGAGUUAAUACGACCCCAUACCCUAUUUAAAGACAUCCCAGGAAAAAAUCUUACUUACACAGAUAGUUAUAAUUGGGGACAUGACACGUGCUGUAAACCUAAAAAUGCUGUCAAAUUAUAUACACCCAAGGUAAUUAUGUCAAACAAAACUAAAUGUGCUAUGUAUGAAAAUUGUACAACCAAGUGUCUGAGGAUAAAACAGCCAAAAGGGAUGUCCUGCCACAUAAAACAAAAAAUUGUGUAUAAUAAUUGCCAUAUCUCCCUGCCCAUAGGAUGGUUUUAUACCUGUGAAGGAAUAACCUUUAAUUAUAUUCCAGCAAAUUUAACCAAGACCCGUUGCUGUUUGAGUUGUCUAGCUGUAGUGUUGCCAGAUAGGACUGAUUUGGUUGUGCCUAACAGAACUAAACGUUGGUCAUCUUACACUACACCGGGAUGUGAUGAUGAUGUAGGUCUGUUAACAGAUGCAGAAGUAAUAACCAUGAUAGCAUCUUUUAUUGCCCUACCUUCUAUAGGAGUCCAUGCUGAAAAGGCAGUGCGAAAAUUAGGUUGCAAGGUGGUCAAAGGGUUAAAUGCUACCUCAUCAGCCUUGGCAUUAGUUAACCAAGAGUUACAGGAACAGAGACAGGCAAUCUUAGAUAAUAGAGCAGCAAUAGACUAUUUGUUGCUCCUCCACCACCAAGGUUGUAAAAGAGUAAAAAAUAUGUGUUGUUUCAAUCUUACCAAUAAUGGUCCAAAGAUAGAAAAAAAGGUAGAACAAUUAAAAAACCUGGUUGAAAAAAAUAUAUAAUGAGGAUGGCAGAGACUUGUUCAAAUGUUAACUUCGUGGUUGCCCAACCUACAAUGGUUAAAACAACUUUUUCUUGUCAUCAUAGUUGUGUGUACAUGCUUAUUAUUGUCAUGUUGUUGUAUACAAUGGAUACCUACAUUUGUGCGUAAGAUUACUUAAAUUCCAAAAAAAAUCAGUGGGGAAUGUGGGACUGCAUAACCUUUGCCCCUUUUUCUCCAGCCCCAUUGUGAUUAAAAUGUGAGUUAAUGGAUGGAGAUGUUUGUUAGUCUAGAGAUGCUAGAUAGGGAUCUGUAACCGACCUAGGGUCCCAGAGUAAACUACUCAACUCUUUGUUUAUCCAGAACUGAUAUUCCAGGCACCACAAUUGUUAGAACAAGCUGCAGAUGUCUGCUAACCAUCAAUAUGUGACAGUCGACCACUAACCUUUGUCCCCUUUUCUUUGAUAUGUUAACUUCCCCCUCAACCCCCUAUAAAAACAGCCUUGGAUUCUGAGCCAGUUGCCUCUCUAAGCUAUUUUGCUUUGGGAGUGCUGUCUGGCCAGACUAAUAAAGGUCUGUUUCCCAACUUGGCUGGUGUGUUCCUUCCCGGGUGGUCUUCACUGUAGUCAGCUCCUUGGAAUGUUUGGUAAGGCUUUUGGUCUUACAUUCUGAAGGCACCACUGGGAUUCCUGGGUGUGCUUCACUAGUCAGCUCCUCGGAGCAUUUGGUAAGGCCCUCGGUCUUACACUUGUUCAUGUUGUUAUUUGCUAAUUUGGGAAUUAUCUUCAAAUAAGAGAAAAAAAGUCAUAGCUAAACUGUGGUGAGCUCUCACUGUACAGCCUCUAGUAUAUGCACUUGAUGCUUACUUGCCUAUUAUAUGCUGAUAGCAACCUAAUGAUGUAGAUUUUACAUCAAUUUUCCAGACAAGAAAAUUGGUUCUUAUAGAGGGCCAGGAACCAGCUUGGGUUCAUGUGACAGGUAAGUGUGUCACUGCUUUGAUCUGACUCCUGAGAGUCCAGAAUCAGUACUUCACUAGGUUUGCUGCACUGUCUACCUAUGCUAAACCCACUGCCCUGCUGAAAUAAUCUGGGUACCUGUAGGUAGAAAGGAGAAAAAGAAUUUCAAUUUUACAUUGAAAUUAUACUUUUGUACUUUGAAGGAAACCUGCAGCUUCAGAACACAAAAGUUAUUUAAGACAUUUUUCCCUUCCAGGAAACUAACUCCAAAAAAACAGAAACUAAAAAUUCAAAAGGGUCUUAAAGAUACAAUAAGCUUUUAAAUUGGGGUCUUGGCUUGUGCUUUUCACCUGUAAAUUCUGCUUCCUCCCACAGACCUCCAUUCUCAAGGAAGCAGCAAUAUUAGUGGGUGGCAGAUCUCAGUUUCAAACACAGAUAACUGGUUUGCCUUCUGACAUAGCUACCAGAUGGGUAAUGUGACAGAAGUAGGAAUACCAUCCUAGAUUGCCCAUCUUGAAGACCUCCUAGGGCCCAUGAAAAUACCCACCUCUGGAUGAUAAUGUGCAUCUCUCUCCUGAGGCUGCAUACUCUAUUUCUUUGAAUGAGUACUUUCAAAUGUCUGCCUAAUAAAUCCUUUUGUGCCUCUUACUGAUGUGUCCUGAAAAUUCUUUUUCUGCAACAAGAGUCAGUGAACCUGGAAAUUCAAUUCUAUGGGUAAAAUGGGUUUAGAAACCUCCUAGGACCCUGUCUGGUGACAGCACAUCUUAGAUACUCAGGUUUGCAAUUUUCAAAGAAAACUCAAAAUGUCAUCUCAGACCAGGAUACACUGCCAUGUUUCACAUACACUUUGCUCACAUUUCACUGGUUUCUAAACGUCAGAAACUCCUGUGUUACAUGAGUAAUGCCUGCUGACUAUUCCUUUACUAGAAAAAAAAAUGCUACCCGCAUAUGUCCUGCUCAUGAGUCUUCCAAAUCUCUCAAAAGGAAUAAUUCCUCAAUACCAC
rnacentral:lncRNA from 1 species